GACGAACGCUGGCGGCGUGCUUAACACAUGCAAGUCGAACGGAGUGGCGCACGGGUGAGUAACACGUGGGUGAUCUGCCUUGCACUUCGGGAUACGCUUGGGGAACUGGGUCUAAUACCGGAUUUGGCAAGAUGAGCUCCCGGCAUAUCAGCUUGUUGGUGGGGUAAUGGCCUACCAAGGCGUCGACGGGUAGCCGGCCUUAGAGGGUGUACGGCCACCUUGGGACUGAGCUACGGCCCAGACUCCUACGUGAGGCAGCGGUGGGGAAUAUUGCACAAUGGGCGGAAGCCUGAUGCAGCGACGCCGCGUGGGGGAUGAAGGCCUUCGGGUUGUAAACUCCUUUCGACAGGGACGCGGUACCUGUAGAAGAAGCACCGGCUAACUACGUGCCAGCCGCCGCGGUAAUAC
rnacentral:rRNA from 1 species